AGACGUCUACAUUAGAUACCCGUGUAGUCCUAGCCGUAAACGAUACUCGCUAGGUGUCGGCCACGGUGCGACCGUUGUCGGUGCCGUAGGGAAGCCGUGAAGCGAGCCACCUGGGAAGUACGGCCGCAAGGCUGAAACUUAAAGGAAUUGGCGGGGGAGCACAACAACGGGUGAAGCUUGCGGUUUAAUUGGAUUCAACGCCGGAAAUCUUACCGGGACCGACAGCAACAUGAAGGCCAAGCUGAAGACUUUGCCGGAUUAGCUG
rnacentral:rRNA from 1 species